rnacentral:rRNA from 1 species
UACAGAGGUGCCAAGCGUUGUUCGGAUUUAUUUGGGCGUAAAGGGUGCGUAGGCGGUCAUGAAAGUCGGGUGUGAAAUACCGGGAGCCUAACUCCGGAACGGCAUUCGAAACUCCAUGGCUAGAGAUCUGGAGAGGUAACUGGAAUUUCUCGGUGUAGCAGUGAAAUGCGUAGAUAUCGAGAGGAACACCAGAGGCAAAAGCGAGUUACUGGACAGAAUCUGACUGCAGCACGAAAGCUAGGGGGAGCAAAACGGG